GCGGCCUCGGGUGGGGUUGCUUCUCGCGUGCCCCUAGUGGUGGGAGGGUUAGGUGCCAGGCUCCACCUUGAUCUUCCCAAGUUUCUCAAGGCCACUGGCGCGGGGGUCACUGCCCCCAAGGAGGGACCUAAAGGGGGUGGAGGAGAGGCCGGAGGAGCGAAUGCGACAAGCUGGGAAAAUGCCCUCCCAGCUUUGGUUCUAGAAUCCCUACUCUCCCUACGGUGCUGCUGAACCUCCGCAGACGCCAAGAGAGAGAACUGACACAGUUCUUCAAGGCCGCGGGGAAUGGUGGUGUGUUGGGUUUGGGAGAAGUGGGCUCGUUUCUCAGCCUAACCUGAGCUUCCGCUGUCCCCAGGGGGAUGGCAUCCACUGCUACCAGGAAUGUGGAGGAAAAGGGCAGCGGGCAGUCCCAAGCCACAGACUCUGCAGCCUGCUUGGGUGGAGGUCCGAAGGUUUCCCAUUCUGAGGAACUCCUGACACAGAUCAGCGCAGAACUCACUGACGAGGCCUUGUUUGUCGCUGCCUACCACAUGAAUCCUGUGCCUGUCAAAGAAAGACAGACACAAGACCAAGGGACUCAGAUAUCCAAACACGGUGAACCCCACGCCAGGACCCUUCUGUCCAGAGACCCUCCGAUACCACUAGUUCCAGUCCCUGCUUCCAGUUAUGCCAGCCUCCUCAUUCUUCCUGGGGCGUGGCAGGCACGCUCCCGCCUUUGGACAGAUUAUGUGUGAGGGGCCCCUGGGAACUCCAGGUGGAAAUGCUCUGUAGACAGUUGGGAAUAUGGCUUCAGAACUCAGUGGCAAGGUCUGGGCUGGUGAUAGAGAUCUGAUCUAGGAGGAAGUUGGCAGUUGAAGGGUGUGCAGUUGCCCUGGUGGGCGGUGGGGUGGGGGGAUGGAGGGUUGUGCAGAGUGAGAAAGACGAGGGGCGCUGAGGAUGGAGCCUUGGAGAACCUCUCCAAGUCAGGGGUUGGCAGAGGAGGAGAGAGGGGUUCAUGAAGAUGGUAGAGAAGGAACUGACAGCAAUGUUUAUUUUAUUUUUUUUAAUGACUUUUUAAAAUUUAUUUAUUUAUUUUUGGCUGUGUUGGGUCUUCGUUGCUGCACAGGGGCUUUCUCUACUUGCGGCGAGCGGGGGCUACUCUUCGUUGUGGUGUGCGGACUUCUCAUUUCAGUGGCUUCUCUUGUUGUGGAGCACGGGCUCUAGGCGCGCGGGCUUCAGUAGUUGUGGCACACGGACUCAGUAGUUGCGGCUCGCAGGCUCUAGAGCACAAGCUUAGUUGCUCCGCGGCAUGUGGGAUCUUCCCGGACCAGGCAUCUAACCCGUGUCCCCUGCAUUGGUAGGCGGUUUCUCAACCAGUGCACCACCAGGGAAGUCUCAGCAAAUGUUUAUUGAGUGUCUGUUAUGAAUAGGGAAUGAUAGGUAGAUUUGUGGAUGGAUGGAAAGAGAAUGGUGGGCGGAUGGAUAGAUGGAUAGGUGGGGAAUGGUGGAUGGAUAAAUCGGUGGAUGGGGGAUAGGGGUUGGAUGGAUAGGUGAAGGAUGGAAAGAUAAAAAGACAUGAACCUUGAAUCUAAAGUCAAAAGACUCUUAUUCUUUUCUAGGGAGCUCUGCCUAGCAACUUGACAUCUGGAGGAUGAUCCCAACUCUGGUGCUGCUCUUGGCCUCUCGUGCCCUCUCCCCACUCUGUUCCUCUAGAACAUGCACCAAAGCUCCUCUUUCACAACUCAUUCAACAGUUUGGUUUUGGGGCGAUUCCUGGUCAUGAGCAACAUCACCCCUGAAGCCUCCAAAGGGUUCUGGAACCAUCACACACCUCUCCACCCUCAGCUAGCAAGGACACCACCAGAAAUCAAAAACUUUAAUAAAGUGACAGAGAUCCUCCCUCCUCUCAGGCUGGGCAGUGCUCUCUGUGGGGUGAUGUGGGAGGAGUGCCCCUCCCCCUUUUUGCCAGAUAUGUGGGCAUAUUAUUUUAUUUAUUUAUUUCCUAUUCCUUUUUUUUUUAAUCAUCUUUAUUGGAGUAUAAUUGUUUUACAAUAUUCCUAUUCCUUUUUUUUUUAACAUCUAUUGGAGUAUAAUUGCUUUACAAUGGGAUGUUAAGUUUCUUGGGCAUAUUAUUGGAAUGGCUUUUUUUUCUUUUUGAGUGAUUUUUCUUUUAAAAAUUUUUUUUUUUU